rnacentral:rRNA from 1 species
ACGGGUGAGUAACGCGUGGGAAUCUACCCUUUUCUACGGAAUAACGCAGGGAAACUUGUGCUAAUACCGUAUGUGUCCUUCGGGAGAAAGAUUUAUCGGGAAAGGAUGAGCCCGCGUUGGAUUAGCUAGUUGGUGGGGUAAAGGCCUACCAAGGCGACGAUCCAUAGCUGGUCUGAGAGGAUGAUCAGCCACAUUGGGACUGAGACACGGCCCAAACUCCUACGGGAGGCGGCAGUGGGGAAUAUUGGACAAUGGGCGCAAGCCUGAUCCAGCCAUGCCGCGUGAGUGAUGAAGGCCCUAGGGUUGUAAAGCUCUUUCACCGGAGAAGAUAAUGACGGUAUCCGGAGAAGAAGCCCCGGCUAACUUCGUGCCAGCAGCCGCGGUAAUACGAAGGGGGCUAGCGUUGUUCGGAAUUACUGGGCGUAAAGCGCACGUAGGCGGAUCGAUCAGUCAGGGGUGAAAUCCCAGGGCUCAACCCUGGAACUGCCUUUGAUACUGUCGAUCUGGAGUAUGGAAGAGGUGAGUGGAAUUCCGAGU